rnacentral:rRNA from 1 species
UAACACAUGCAAGUCGAACGGGCACUUCGGUGCUAGUGGCGGACGGGUGAGUAACGCGUGGGAACAUACCCUUUGGAUCGGAAUAGCCUCGGGAAACUGGGAGUAAUACCGGAUAAGCUCUUCGGAGGAAAGAUUUAUCGCCAAAGGAUUGGCCCGCGUUGGAUUAGGUAGUUGGUGGGGUAAUGGCCUACCAAGCCGACGAUCCAUAGCUGGUUUGAGAGGAUGAUCAGCCACACUGGGACUGAGACACGGCCCAGACUCCUACGGGAGGCAGCAGUGGGGAAUCUUAGACAAUGGGGGCAACCCUGAUCUAGCCAUGCCGCGUGAUCGAUGAAGGCCUUAGGGUUGUAAAGAUCUUUCAGUGGGGAAGAUAAUGACGGUACCCACAGAAGAAGCCCCGGCUAACUCCGUGCCAGCAGCCGCGGUAAUACGGAGGGGGCUAGCGUUAUUCGGAAUUACUGGGCGUAAAGCGCACGUAGGCGGACCGGAAAGUCAGAGGUGAAAUCCCUAAUAC